rnacentral:rRNA from 1 species
UACGUAGGGGGCAAGCGUUGUCCGGAUUUAUUGGGCGUAAAGAGCGUGUAGGCGGCCGCACAGGUCCGUUGUGAAAACUGGAGGCUUAACCUCCAGACGUCGAUGGAAACCGUGCGGCUAGAGUCCGGAAGAGGAGAAUGGAAUUCCUGGUGUAGCGGUGAAAUGCGCAGAUAUCAGGAAGAACACCCGUGGCUAAGGCAGGUCUCUGGGCAUUAACUGACGCUGAGGAGCA